rnacentral:rRNA from 1 species
AUUGAACGCUGGCGGCAUGCCUUACACAUGCAAGUCGAACGGCAGCACGGGAGCAAUCCUGGUGGCGAGUGGCGAACGGGUGAGUAAUAUAUCGGAACGUGCCCAGUCGUGGGGGAUAACGCAGCGAAAGCUGUGCUAAUACCGCAUACGAUCUAUGGAUGAAAGCGGGGGACCGCAAGGCCUCGCGCGAUUGGAGCGGCCGAUAUCAGAUUAGCUAGUUAGUGGGGUAAAGGCCCACCAAGGCGACGAGCUGUAGCUGGUCUGAGAGGACGACCAGCCACACUGGAACUGAGACACGGUCCAGACUCCUACGGGAGGCAGCAGUGGGGAAUUUUGGACAAUGGGCGCAAGCCUGAUCCAGCAAUGCCGCGUGCAGGAUGAAGGCCUUCGGGUUGUAAACUGCUUUUGUACGGAACGAAACGGUGAGCUUUAAUACAGUUUGCUAAUGACGGUACCGUAAGAAUAAGCACCGGCUAACUACGUGCCAGCAGCCGCCGUAA